rnacentral:lncRNA from 1 species
CCGUCCGCCCCUCCUCCGGGAUCGCCGCCCCACCACCGCUGCAGGGACACGUCUCCGCCUACCUGUCUCAGCCUAUCGAUGUAAUACCAGUCAGAAAACCACCAUGGUUUUGCAUCGGACACCAGAUCAAGCCCAGCGCAGCCGUUGUCCCCCCCAUCAGGACCUCUAUCCCAGAUCGCCUUUCUCAAAUCACCCCACAACGUCGCUCCGACCCGGAAGAAAGGCAGCCCUCCUCCGAACCUAGCCUUCAGCCACGCCGCCGUGCCAGAUGCAGCCAACGUCCGGCGAGAGAGAUGAAUCCUAACUUAUCCCAACUGCCGAGUACCGGAUGCGCCUACCAGCACCACAGCCCGUCCGGCUGCACUCACUGUGCACCGGCGCGACGAGGCGCAGCCGGCCAAGCGUGAACUUCGACAACAGCGUCCCUCUAGUUUCUCUCUCUAGGGUUUUCGCUCUCGGUAAAUUAUUGAUUUGUAAGACUCAUGAUUGUUUAUAUACAAGUACUGUGAUUGGAACAACACGUUUAUUGUGAAAUUUUUUAGGAGCUUUAGGUAACUCAAAUCGAUGAACUCCAUUAUAUAAAGACGC